rnacentral:rRNA from 1 species
UACGUAGGUCCCGAGCGUUGUCCGGAUUUAUUGGGCGUAAAGCGAGCGCAGGUGGUUUAUUAAGUCUGGUGUAAAAGGCAGUGGCUCAACCAUAGUAUGCUUUGGAAACUGUUCAACUUGAGUGCAGAAGGGGAGAGUGGAAUUCCAUGUGUAGCGGUGGAAUGCGUAGAUAUAUGGAGGAACACCGGUGGCGAAAGCGGCUCUCUGGUCUGUAACUGACGCUGAGGCUCGAGGGCGUGGGUAGCGAACAGG